CCUACGGGAGGCAGCAGUAAGGAAUAUUGGUCAAUGGACGAAAGUCUGAACCAGCCAUGCCGCGUGAAGGAUUAAGGCCCUCUGGGUUGUAAACUUCUUUUAUCUGGGACGAAAAAAGGGUAUUCUUACUCACUUGACGGUACCAGAGGAAUAAGCACCGGCUAACUCCGUGCCAGCAGCCGCGGUAAUACGGAGGGUGCAAGCGUUAUCCGGAUUUACUGGGUUUAAAGGGUGCGUAGGUGGGUCUGUAAGUCAGUGGUGAAAUCUCCGGGCUUAACCCGGAAACUGCCAUUGAUACUAUAGGUCUUGAAUUAUCUGGAGGUAAGCGGAAUAUGUCAUGUAGCGGUGAAAUGCUUAGAUAUGACAUAGAACACCAAUUGCGAAGGCAGCUUACUACGGAUAUAUUGACACUGAGGCACGAAAGCGUGGGGAUCAAACAGGAUUAGAUACCCUGGUAGUCCACGCCCUAAACGAUGGAUACUCGACAUCAGCGAUACACUGUUGGUGUCUGAGCGAAAGCAUUAAGUAUCCCACCUGGGAAGUACGAUCGCAAGAUUGAAACUCAAAGGAAAUUGACGGCUGAGAGNGCGAGACGACACGAGGAGGAGG
rnacentral:rRNA from 1 species